CGGCCCGUAGCUCAGCGGUGAGAGCGCCCGGCUGUAGACAGCCCGGGGGGCGACAUCUGCUUAAAAGCCCCCCGCCUAUAACGGGCGGUCCCGGGUUCGAAUCCCGGCGGGCCGA
rnacentral:tRNA from 1 species